rnacentral:lncRNA from 1 species
UUUUUAUUUUACAAGCUUCUAGAUUUUAUAGCAGUACAACAAAACGAUGACGUUUAAAAAAUGCAGCAGAGAUACACGGAAGUGAGUCACAAAAAUAGCCCCAAAUCAAAUCCGAUUCUCCAACUCGCAAUUAUCAUCAUCAGAGUUGAAGUUGAAUCAAUCAAUCAAUCAAUCAAGCAAACUAAAGGUUCAUACUUUCUAAAUCUCCUCUCUACUUUCACUGUUGAUCCAAUUUAUAAGAUUUUCAAAUUUUUAUUUUGCUUAAUGUAGAUGAAUUAAUACUAUUAGCUAGCUAGCUGUGUUUUUCAAUAACGAAUUGGAAAAAUCAAUAGAUGAUUGCAAGUAUUCCAAAUGAUGGAAUCUCUAUAGUAUAGAUGUUUUUGGUUUGGAUUCGAUGCAAUAUUUAAUCAAGUUUGUUAUGUUCUUUAGCUUUUCAUUUGCUGAAUUGAUUAUUUAGUUAGAGUAUAAUUUCCUUGGGAGAUGAUGUUUGAAUCAUUUAAUUUAAUUAUUUCUGCAGCAAAACAAGUCC